GAUGAACGCUGGCGGUCUGCUUAACACAUGCAAGUCGAACGGAGUAGAAAUACUUAGUGGCGGACGGGUGAGUAACGCGUGAGAAUCUGCCUUCAGGACGGAGACAACAGUUGGAAACGACUGCUAAGCCCCGAUGAACCGCACGGGAAAAUAUUUAUAGCCUGAAGAUGAGCUCCCGUCCGAUUAGCUAGUUGGGGGGGUAAGAGCCACCAAGGCGACGUACGGUAGCUGGUCUGAGAGGACGAUCAGCCACACUGGGACUGAGACACGGCCCAGACUCCUACGGGAGGCAGCAGUGGGGAAUUUUCCGCAAUGGGCGAAAGCCUGACGGAGCAAGACCGCGUGGGGGAAGAAGGCUCUUGGGUUGUAAACCCCUUUUCUCUGGGAAGAAAGUUGUGAAAGCAACCUGACGGUACCAGAGGAAUCAGCAUCGGCUAACUCCGUGCCAGCAGCCGCGGUAACAC
rnacentral:rRNA from 1 species